CAAUAAAUUUAAAGAAGAAGAAGAAAGGAUUUUUACUCUGCCAGAGACAGCGAGCAGGAACAGGUGAAUAAACAACACUUGGAUAACCAGUACAAAGGACAGUUUUUUUAAGAGAAAGAAAGAAAGAAAUGCAAAUAAUGAUACUGGAAAAUGAAAUUAUUGAAGGAAAAUACUUUAUAAUUGAGAGGGGAAAUUCAUGCAAUUCACGGAACCAGAUUUUACAUCAUCUCCUUCGACAAAGACCUGGUUUGAAGGAGGUGCACAGUGUGAAAGACUGUGACGUGAUUUUAGUCUUCUGCACCAUUUUUUCACGGGCAGGAACUGACAUUGAUGCUGCAUUGAAUGAACUUAAUUACUGUUCAGCAUCCAAACCAGCUAUUUU